rnacentral:rRNA from 1 species
AUUGAACGCUGGCGGCAGGCCUAACACAUGCAAGUCGAACGGUAACAGGAAACAGCUUGCUGUUUCGCUGACGAGUGGCGGACGGGUGAGUAAUGUCUGGGAAACUGCCUGAUGGAGGGGGAUAACUACUGGAAACGGUAGCUAAUACCGCAUAACGUCGCAAGACUAAAGAGGGGGACCUUCGGGCCUCUUGCCAUCGGAUGUGCCCAGAUGGGAUUAGCUAGUAGGUGGGGUAACGGCUCACCUAGGCGACGAUCCCUAGCUGGUCUGAGAGGAUGACCAGCCACACUGGAACUGAGACACGGUCCAGACUCCUACGGGAGGCAGCAGUGGGGAAUAUUGCACAAUGGGCGCAAGCCUGAUGCAGCCAUGCCGCGUGUAUGAAGAAGGCCUUCGGGUUGUAAAGUACUUUCAGCGGGGAGGAAGGGAGUAAAGUUAAUACCUUUACUCAUUGACGUUACCCGCAGAAGAAGCACCGGCUAACUCCGUG